AAGUAAACCAAGAAAUAAAGAAUAACUGACACAAUGACAAAACAAUACAGAUAAUGGGAAAACAGGGAGACCAAACCGAUCUUUCAACAACAGGAAAAUCUGACCUCCUGUGAGCUUCUUUGUAGGUGGUCAUGUGCGCUCCACCUGCUGUUUUCUGACAUUGGAUGACAGCCACGCACGCUGCACAAUUACAGCUUGGAAUCAGCAUGGGCAGUAUAUUAUAUACGUCAUUAUUUUGUGGCUAGUGCAAUGGGAAUUCAACAAGGGAGUUCAAGUAACAUGAAAGUAAAUCUUAGUCUCACAUAGUGGCACAUUUAUGUAUUGCAUCUUGAUAAGGUAUGUGUAACUUAAAAUAGAUAAUGACACUUGGCUGUUAAGUCUUUCAAUAUUUAAUGUAUACAUUUGAAUACAACUGUGUCAGUGGAAAUCAUUCACUACAGAAAUGUCAGGUCAGAGCUGUUGCCUAGUUUGCCUCUAAAAUCUGUUUUGACAUGCGUUUUCUAGCUAUUUGGGCUACGUUUCCAUACCAGUCAAAUCAGUCCAAACUUAAAGGAACACACAUUUUGGGAAAUACUUUGAUUGGGUUCUUUCAUGUCUUUCAUUCACCUACCAGUACUUUCCACUGGUUGCCUGGUGACUAGUUAUUUUCUACACUUAUUUUAACAUUUUACCCAAGUUAGUUAUUGAGAUCCGGGACAAAAAACUGAUCCAUACUGCAUAUACUACAUACAACAUCCUGCUGCUGCCUGAUUGUCUGACCGCUCGUGUUCCUUGCAUUGUCUCAGUUUUAUUUUGUCUUUCACAUUAUUUUGGUAAAUACAGUUGGAUACUAGUUACUAGUCAAGGCAAAAUGAC